UGAACGCUGGCGGCAGGCCUAACACAUGCAAGUCGAGCGGUAGCACAGGGAGCUUGCUCCUGGGUGACGAGCGGCGGACGGGUGAGUAAUGUCUGGGAAACUGCCUGAUGGAGGGGGAUAACUACUGGAAACGGUAGCUAAUACCGCAUAACGUCUUCGGACCAAAGAGGGGGACCUUCGGGCCUCUUGCCAUCAGAUGUGCCCAGAUGGGAUUAGCUAGUAGGUGAGGUAAUGGCUCACCUAGGCGACGAUCCCUAGCUGGUCUGAGAGGAUGACCAGCCACACUGGAACUGAGACACGGUCCAGACUCCUACGGGAGGCAGCAGUGGGGAAUAUUGCACAAUGGGCGCAAGCCUGAUGCAGCCAUGCCGCGUGUAUGAAGAAGGCCUUCGGGUUGUAAAGUACUUUCAGCGAGGAGGAAGGCAUUGUGGUUAAUAACCACAGUGAUUGACGUUACUCGCAGAAGAAGCACCGGCUAACUCCGUGCCAGCAGCCGCGGUAAUACGGAGGGUGCAAGCGUUAAUCGGAAUUACUGGGCGUAAAGCGCACGCAGGCGGUCUGUCAAGUCGGAUGUGAAAUCCCCGGGCUCAACCUGGGAACUGCAUUCGAAACUGGCAGGCUAGAGUCUUGUAGAGGGGGGUAGAAUUCCAGGUGUAGCGGUGAAAUGCGUAGAGAUCUGGAGGAAUACCGGUGGCGAAGGCGGCCCCCUGGACAAAGACUGAC
rnacentral:rRNA from 1 species